rnacentral:lncRNA from 1 species
UUCAUGCUUCAAAUUUCCAGAUUAUAAAGUUCAGACAUUCAAUUGUGCACCUGAUAUAGGAAGGCAAAAGAAGAGGAAGAUCAGCAGGACAACACUAACACACAACUACAACAAUACUCAGCAACAACCAGUAAAACCCAGGAACUCCCAAUAAUAACCAGUGAUAGAAACCUAGGGAAACUCAAUGAACCAGUGGUCAAUCACCCAUAACAAACUCAGAAAUGCCAAACUGUGAUCACAAACAGAAGCAAGAAGAAACAAUGACGAAUAGAACAAUAGUUUCUGAUUUUUCUAAUACUAAAACAAGAAGCUGGGAGUUUCAAUGAAACAGUAGCAGGUUAGUACUGAUUUUCACUCAUAGAAGAGACCUCACUUUCAGUUAUCUGAACUCUCAAGAUUAAAAGUCCGCUUGUAUUUCACUCUUCA